CCUACGGGUGGCAGCAGUGGGGAAUAUUGGACAAUGGGGGCAACCCUGAUCCAGCCAUGCCGCGUGUGUGAAGAAGGCCCUCGGGUUGUAAAGCACUUUCAGUGAGGAAGAACGCCUGGUGGUUAAUACCCAUCAGGAAAGACAUCACUCACAGAAGAAGCACCGGCUAACUCCGUGCCAGCAGCCGCGGUAAUACGGAGGGUGCGAGCGUUAAUCGGAAUUACUGGGCAUAAAGCGCGCGUAGGUGGCUUGAUAAGCCGGUUGUGAAAGCCCCGGGCUCAACCUGGGAACGGCAUCCGGAACUGUCAAGCUAGAGUGCAGGAGAGGAAGGUAGAAUUCCCGGUGUAGCGGUGAAAUGCGUAGAGAUCGGGAGGAAUACCAGUGGCGAAGGCGGCCUUCUGGACUGACACUGACACUGAGGUGCGAAAGCGUGGGUAGCAAACAGGAUUAGAUACCCGGGUAGUC
rnacentral:rRNA from 1 species